GUCACCACUGAUGAACCUCACCGGAGUUGCUCGAAUGUUACUACUGCUCUAUUUGGUUCUGUUGGAAGCUGCACUGCUGUGGGUGUGGUUGUCAAAAACUGCCGCUGGAACCCCUGUCUUCUUGGUUGUUGUUGAACCACCGGAGCUUCUGGUAGCCGCCAUCACUAGAAGUAAUUGUCGGAGCUGCCGCAUGAUCGGUUCAGAGGGUCACUGCUGCUUUCUUUCUCGUGGUUGCUACUGCUGCUAUAAAAUUGAGAAUAAACAAAAGAGGAAUUGAUGCGUUUAACUACUGAGCUUUGACUAAAUCAAAGU